GCAAACUUGGUCAUUUAGAGGAAGUAAAAGUCGUAACAAGGUUUCCGUAGGUGAACCUGCGGAAGGAUCAUUAUUGAAUAUACUUGAUGGGUUGUAGCUGGCCCUUUGGGGCAUGUGCACACUUGUCUUGCUUUUAUUCAUCCACCUGUGCACCUUUUGUAGUCUUGGGGACUAAGAGUAAGGUCGGCUAUCGGAUUUGGUUCCGGAUGUGAGAAGUGCCUCUGGGCUCUUUUCUAUUGACUUUUCUCCCUCGAGUGCUAUGUUUUUCAUAUACCACAUAGAAUGUUGUAGAAUGUGAUCAAUGGGAUAUAAUCAUAUACAACUUUCAGCAACGGAUCUCUUGGCUCUCGCAUCGAUGAAGAACGCAGC
rnacentral:misc_RNA from 1 species